GCGAGGAUAGCUCAGUUGGGAGAGCGUUAGACUAAAGAUCUGAGGUUUGUGUUCGAUCCAUUUUUUUUAUU